UGUCUGGUCUGGGAGGAGCCACCCUUUGGUCGGUUCCGGUAUGCACAGUCCUUCGGUCAAGGGCCCUGUGGGAAAAAGAAAAAGAAAGGGAAUUCUCUCUUCCAGCGAGUAAGACAGCAGCGCUCCAGCAAUGCCAGCGGGUAUUUCGUCUACCUUGCAGGGUUCGGCCUUAAAAUUCAGACUUCUUUCCCAGGGCCGUCUCACAUCACCCCUCGUCAGCUAAGAUGUGGAGGGGGUGCAAGCGCGUGACUGGGGGCUUCCCAGCCCAGAGGGGAAGAGAAACUGCCACAGACCCUGAUGUCAGCAGCAAGGUGUUAGCCUUGGCUGGUGAAUGCAGGCAGCCCCUGGCCGCGCCUGAGUGGUAAGAUUACAGGGGACAGGCAGAGAGAUGAAGCUAAGAAGACAUCUUUUCAGAGAUGUGUUAAGCCCAGAACCCCAGGAUGAAGUGACCGCUGUACCCUUUCCAGAACAAACCUGCCCUUCUGUGGGUCCCCAAGAAGUAACUCUUUGGGAAUUUGUGGGUGGGUAUGCAAAAGAGCAAGUAAUGAUAAGCAAUUAACUGUAUCGCCUCAUGCAUAGAUAGUAGUAUUUAUUUGGCUUUGACCAAGGCCUGGUGACAGAUGCUGAAGGACUUGAACCGACAACUCAGCUUAGGAGGAAGCCAAGACUGAGGGUUUCCCAUCACCCAGUAUGAUUGUAAGCUGCUUGAAGAAAGGACAUAUUUACACAGGACCAGUACAAUACUCUACAAAUAGUAGGCCCUUGCUGAUUUUCCCCCUGAAUGGGAAUUUUAUUUGCCUUGACCCGGCAGCUGGCUUAAUGUCAAACACACAGUGAAAGUUGUUGAAGUGAAAUAGAACCUUGGCCUUGCAGUACGCGGGCCUCUCACUGUUGUGGCCUCUCCUGUUGAGGAGCACAGGCACCGGACGCAUAGGUUCAGCGGGCCAUGGCUCACGGGCCCAGCCGCUCCGCGACAUGUGGGAUCUUCCCGGACCGGGGCACGAACCCGUGUCCCCUGCAUCGGCAGGCGGACUCUCAACCACUGCGCCACCAGGGAAGCCCUACCAUAGUCUUGAUAGAGCCACUGCUGGAGGAAAGAAGUUGAGGAAAAAGAAAGCCAAUCUCUCAAAAUGUAUCCUUUUUCUUCAUCUAUAUUUUUGCACCAUGGUUUAGUUUAUUUUCUUUUUUGUUUUAAUAGGGGUUUCCUCUGUCACAUUUCUUCAUAUAACUUUUAUUAUCAUCCUCCUUAUUGUUUCUAAACAUAAGUUACUGUUUCCUUUCUCCUUUGAGGUAGGAAGUCAUACUGAGCUGUAUUUUUCCUUUUUUCUAGAGCUGCCUUUCUUUUUAAACCCAAAAGCAAUAUUUCAGUCUCCAUCAGUUUUAAAAGUCACCUUUUAGCAUUUUGUUUUUUAAAUUGUAGUUCAGGAAGAUGCUAGAUAACAGAUUCUUGCUGUUAUCCAACUUACCAUUUGAGUUUUCUACAGCUAAGAAGUAGUAAAAAUCAUAACUGCCACUUCUUUGACAAACUAGAACUACAAUUUAAUGGCCACACAUGGCAGUAAUGCCUUUUCCAAAGAAAAUGACAAUAAAUUUAAUUUGAUGAGGAAAUGCUUCUAGAAUUGAUGCUCUGUUUUUUUCACUUGUUUACUAAAUUGUAUCAAUAAAGAGCCUAUUCUGUGUAAUUUACAGUUAGAUGCCCUUGGACUAGCAGAAUAGAGCUGUGAUUAAGCUUAGAGACUGUGAGCUCAGGAUACCAGGAUUCGCAUCUCAGCACUGCCUCUUAAUUGCUGUGUGAUCUUAGGAAAAUAACCUCAAAUUUCUCAGUUGUAAAACGAGAAUGAUAAUGAUACCAGUACUAUGUCAUAAGGUUGUUGGAAGCACUUAGCACUAGUCCUGGCAUGUUAUACAUGCCCUAUACAUGACUGCCAGCAUUUUUAUACAAACGAUGAGUAAGAGAUGUUGCUAGCCCUCAAUGAAUGUACAGUUGAUAGAGGAAAUAACUUAGUUAUACACAUAAACAUUAUAUAAUAACUAGCCAUCUAACUGAUACUUACACAGGAUCCCUUUUUGCAAGAAACAAAAGCUGAUAGGCUGAUUUAGCAGAAAAGUUUAUUGAAAGGAUACCAUUUAUAUGUCAAUGCUACUCUCUCACUUGUCCCAGCUUACCCUUCCCCCUCCCCGUGUCCUCAGGUCCAUUCUCAAAUAGAUAGCUAGUGGGAAGCAGCCGCGUAGUGCACGGAGGUCAGCUGGGUGCUUUGUGACCACCUAGAGGGAUGGGAUAGGGAGGGUGGCAGGGAGGCACAAGAGGGAGGGGAUAUGGGGAUAUAUGUAUAUGUAUAACUGAUUCACUUUGCUGCACAGCAGAAACUAACACAACUUUGUAAAGCAAGUAUAUGCCAAUAAAGAUGUUAAAAAAAGGAUAUUGUUUAUAUUUCAAAAACAUAAAUAGGUCCAAAAUAGAAAAAAAUUCUAAGUUUACUAGAUCAUGAUACCCAUUUCUUAAUUACUUCCAAAAAUUGUUAUAAACUUUUGGUUUUAAGUGUGCACGUGUGAA